GCUAACACUUUUUCAGGUAACAAGCAGUUAGAGCCGGGAUGCUCCGAGAUUCAGAGAAUAACCGGAUAGUUAACAAGUGGAUAAUUGGUAGCGCGAGAGCAGUAUCUCGUUACCGAACUGAUCGGGAUCCUUAGCGGGUCUUGUUCUACGCCACGAUCGCUGGAUCAACACCGGCCGUUGGACUGGCUCGGCUGUUUAUCGGUGCACAUUCCAAAUAACUGGCGCUUUGGCCUCUCGGACGCUCGUUACAUAAUUCGUGACGCUCUCGCCGUCGACGGUACACCGCAUUUAUUUCCAUUUAAAUGGUUUACGUCAACGUGAUCGGGGCAGACCCUCGCGCGACAAGGAUCCGCUUCGUAGUUUACGCUCGGCCGCGUGCGGAAACGCCGCUCGAGAGGAUCGGCGCGAUCCUCGCGCGGAGUGCACGUGCAUUCUUCUCCCCUGUCGAGGCUCGAGAGCGGUGCAAAUCGACGAUGGGAAUCACUGGCGAAAAUUCCAGAGGGGAAUCUCCAUAGCUGUACUAUCCUCUAGCAUCCACUCGUCGGCUCCCAGGACUUCCGGUUGCGCCGCGGAUGCCGGGAGUUGUCCACGGCGCGAGGUUCCAGCCUCUCUUCGAGGCUACCUGCGAAGAUCUCGGUCCUGUCCUUUUGUCACUGUUCCCUUGAUAUUUGUAGAAUUAACCUGAACGCAUAGUCGCCUGCAGGCUGCCGAGGGAGAGUCAGUUGAAGGUCUCCGAGCGCGCCGACGUUCCGUCUAUGUCCACGCGGUAGCGAGUGUGCCCGGAUCGCCUCCUGAACUUUUCAAUGCACGUUCGUCCAGUUCGGAUUCCAGAAUGUCCGAGCUGCUGCGAGUAAAAGGUCACCUCGAAGAUUGUACCGUCACAUGAACAAGGUGCGCGGAACAUGAUCGUCGGCGAGUUUAAGAGAGCCGUAGUAAUUGGCGUGACAAGGAUUCUUUGCAUUCAGGAUGGAAACGCAAUUCACUAAUGGCUGAGCGAGCGAGACGUUUAAGAGGCGUUUAAUAGGUACGUUAAACGACUACUCUGUUUUGUCUGUUAAUAUAGAUAAAAAAUUUUAACAAGAUCUUCAUAAAUCUUUAAUUCAACAUAAUAUAAUAUAUUUAUAAUAAUCUUUUUAAUGCGAUCAACUUCCGAGAAAUGAUGCUCGUCGCGCAGGAUAAUAUCACCUCGCAAUCCAGGAAAACGACUUCUGGGAGAGAGACUGCUAUUUAGGUAUUUUCUAAGAUUUUUCUACGAGAAAAUUACAACAUUAUCUAUAUACGAUAUAACUUUACUUUCAACUAAAGCAUUUGUGUGCAAACAAAAAUGCCCGCUAACUUUCCCAGAAAAGAUUCCUACAACUCCUGUACAUAUUUUUCAGAUCGUCGUCCUUUAACUACGGCGCUUAGGUAUCAUAAAUAUCGCGAGAAUGGUGUAACAGAUGAAAGAGCCAGAGAGCAAUGUAAGGAUCGCGAGGAUCGCGGCCGCAAGCGAUCUGGGAAAAGUGUUAACAAGUCCCGGCAACGGGUUGUCAGCGCCGAUGGUCAUUCAUUUGAUCGGUGGCGACGCGCGACUCUCGUUUCUAAAUAGCGGGAGGUCUUUACGGGAUUCUCGGCCGUUGUAAAAAUCAAACAACAUCUCCGGCAUCUGGUGCAGCACGCGUGCAAAGGCUGUCCGCCCCUGAUGUCAAUCCUCAUUCGGCCGGUGGCUCGUAAAAGCCGCGUCGACGACGCGAUACGCGCGUGUAUUCACGGUCAUUUCGCAGUUUUUCGUCUCCCUCUCUUUACCUCCAGCCCCCGCACUGCUUGUCACCGCCUUAUACAAGCCGCUCGUGAUUAAUAAAACGUGCGCAAAUGACUUUAAGCCGGCAGUUUAAUUAUUCAAUUUUCACACGCACGACGAUAGUGACUCGCGAUACCAUCUCGCGUGGGUUCUUCACGCAGCGAGACGAGUGGGCACAUUAGGUGGAAAUUAUUCAUAGAUCGUUCGUGAGACUGUUCGAAAUUGUUCUCAACACGUUCGUAGUUAGCAGUUUUCACAGCUUGAUUUGUUUCGUUCGUUGUAUUAACCGCAAACAUUCGUAAAAUCUGAUAGAUUACGGGAUUUCAAGCGCAAAAACUUUUCAUAAUAUUCAUUUGUUCGAACAAGUUUCAUAACUUGUUUAAACUUUAACAGGUUUCAAUUCGAACACUUUUGCAAAUACAAAACUGUUCGAAAAGUUUUGUGCUAUUGUUAUAUUAUUUUCGACUGAUUGAAUUAUUUUAAAAAAAAUCAUUUAGCUUCUGUUUGCUUUACAAUCGUCGCGGACGAAUUUUACUUUGCACGAAGAUCCACCACAGCCUAAUGCUGAACCUAUUGUCGAACUGAAUUAAUCGGAUACUUUUUACGCGAGACACGCGCCUGUGACGCUGUUAGCGAACGUGUUAAAGUAAAGAAUAGAUGCGAAGGCCUCUUACAGUUUUCGAAUUGGUGAUCCAAUACGGCUAUGUUUACCAUUUUCUGCGAUAUCUCGGCAGAACAAAGAUCCACUCGAACGUUUGUAAAUGCUCCUCCCGUUGAGAUCAUUGGAGUCGAUGGCCAUCCGAUAUUGGCAAUGCCAUCUCACAGGAAGAGUCUCUAGGUCGCAUGUCGCCGGGGUUUAUGGGGAUCCGAUGGUGCUCGUAAAGCCGAGACUAUCGGGGUUAAGUGUCCUUUUUGCUUUUACCGUUGCAUACGAAUUCGAUGCAGUUUUGCAAUUAAUGGCUGGUCACCGGUCGUUUUUCCUUUUCUUUUUUUUUUGUCGAAUCGACGAGGGAAUCCGCGAGCGAGACGGCAAAGGGACGUGAAACGGGGAGUGCUCGCGGACCGAUCAAGGCGAAAACCCUUGACCCAGAUGCCAUCCGGCCAACAAAAUAUUCGAUAAAUACGCGCCGAGAGGCUCGGUCGCCUCAAAAUCGAAUGAUCCCGGCCUCUUUACGAUGAUUCGCGCGCGAGUAUCCUGCAUCUUUAUUUGCUUCUCUGCUCGAAGAUUUAUGCCCCGGCGACUGCAAGGCUGGACCCUUACACAUUUAUAGCAAAUUUUGCCGAGCGGAAUCCGGGGAAACAGAUUUUUCAACGUUGGGGAUAACCAGUAAUGACAGUGAUUGCUGGCAUUGCCUUGCUGCGCGGUGUUCAUGGAAAAAUAUGAAACCAGUGACUGUAGUAGUUCCAGUGUCAACAAAGUUGUUUAUUAAGGUGAUCAGCUUUCGUUCGGCUCCAGUUUUCAGCAACGUGGCCUUGGGAAUGUGAAUUUGCAUAAAGAUCCGCAGGAAAUUCUGUUGGCCGCGAUCACGUUUGAUUGUAUUCGUAUCUCCAAUUGACCUGGGCUCUUUUUAUGUGAACGUCCAGCGAACCUCUUCGUGAUUCACGGUGUUCCUAUUUACCACGAAAUCCACCGAGCCGGUCGAUAUGACCGGUUUCAUAUAUUGUAUUUUAGAAUUGCCGAAAUUAUGCAGACUCGUUGAUAGCGAAUAAUUGUAUAAAUUUCUCAAGCAAAAUUGUAAUCAAAAUUGUGGAAAGUCUGAAUAAAUUCAAUCUUAUUAUUUUUACGGAGCACGUUCGUCCCUUUUAAUGCUUGGUAGGUGUUUAGUGUUCGGUUCGUAGAUCAUUAAUUUUCCAGGAGAUUCUAUAAAAUCAUCUAAAAAUACCAAUUCUCAUUUCCAGGGGUAUGAGGAUCGCCUGCUCGCGUUUGCUAUGAAUGCAUAAAAUCCAAACAACGGUGCACUUUCUGCGUAAACUUUCUGCCUGUUCAAAAACAAUCGGCGAGCUCGUAAACGGAACAAGAAAUACAAGCCUCGCGCGUGGAGGACCACAAUAGCUGGAAAAGUUACUAUAAACCGUGUCUGACGUGGAAACAGAGACUCGCGGUUUUUGCGAGCGUUUAGGCCAGUUUUUCGCGCCGAGAGCGACAGGAGAUUCCCGAAGGCAGAUCGGCAUUCCUCGGCCGAAGGAAACUGGAGCGGCCGAGAGAGCUAAUUGGUCCGCAUCGGUCGAUUAGCCAAUGGGAUCGAAACGAGAAGGAAACACGACCGCUAAUUGACCGGCGCGGCUUUUCUCGCGGACGGCCAAGUUGCAUAAACCUCCGAGUGCCCAGCUGAAGCAGCAGCCGCGAGGAAACCUCGAAGAAUUUAGGCCUCUGCCUCCCGGCUUGCGCAACAGACCGAUAAUAAGUUUCUAAUCGAUCAUCGAGCUGUCGACGUCCCUGCAUUCAUUACGCCGGCUGACCAACGGCAUACCGAAUGAAAGUGAAACGUAUCGACGGUUCGGCCGACGAUUUCGAAACCUUUUUAUCGCCUCUGUUUUUCGCCGAUCGACCGACCGGCUGUCGCGGGGACACAAUGUUCUUGUUAAACAGCCUGACAAAAGGACGCCAGAGCAGCGGUUGAUUGAUUUCAUUGAGACAUCGACCGCCCGAACGAGGAACCACCGGGAACAGGUUCACGGACGUCGACGUACGACGGCUACGAAAAGCAUUUCAACCUUUCGACCUUCGUGAAGUUACCUUUUUCUGUCCGACCUGCGGCGGGCUGCGCUGGUGCUUGUCGACGAUGCCCAAUAAACAGUCGUCGCACUUGCAGUAGAAAUUCCUACUCGACGCGGAAUCGUUGGAGAGCAGAGAGUUGUAGGUGCUGGCACUGGUCUGACUGUCCAUCGAGUCGGCUCUCCUCAGAAAAAGGCUCCUCCUCGGAGACGCUCCGCUUCUCCGAUCUGCCUCGUUCUUCUCGUCCUCCCGUAAACUCUGCUUCUCGAUCUUCGCCAGCAGGAUCUGCUCCAUUAGAUUUAACGUUGGAGGCGUCGAGAGCGUCGGCGACGAUGGAUGAGAACUGCCGAGUCUCUUCUCUUGCUCCAUUUCUCGGUCCAUGUAUGUCCUCGAAAAAUUCUGCGAAUCGAGUUCUUAGCAAUUUAGCACUGGACAAAUUUCUAAGAAGAUCAGAAGGCUCUAGAGUUAUUUUUCCUGUAGACUUUCUCAAACUUUAUCUCUCCUCUUGCUAUCGGCGACUCGCUCGACGAUUAGGAAGAAUUCCUAGCAGCUGGUAUUUCUCACUUCAGCUUUCUCUUUUGCAAACUUCUCUGGCCGUCAAUUCUUCUCUCGAUUACCUAACAAUUGCUACCGAGGAGUCAAUGCUGAGUCCUAAAUUGAUCUUCCUUUUAUCUAGUCUUCUUUUAAGCUCUUCUGACCGAUCCAGCAGCAUUUGCUGCCAAGGAUUUGCUACAAAGCAAUCGAUCUAAGAGGUUGUCCAAGUCGAGCUUCCUGUAUCCAGAUUUCCUUGUGCUUCGAGUCUUCUUCUGGCAAUCAAUCCUUCACCGUUCGUUAACGAUUGAUUUGAAGGACCAAAGAUCCUGGGAGUUAGCCGAACAGCUUCCCGUUUCCAUGGACUACCGUCGACGAUGAUCCUCGAUGGAUCGAGAAGAGUCCCACCAGAGAUUCUAGCUGAUCGGUCCUCCAGGACGAUUUUCCGAAACGGUCGGCCACACGACGCUCCUCGGAACGAUCCUGCCGUCGAACUGCGACAUUUCAAACGUACACUACGCGACUCUCGACUCUUCCACGAACGUUCCUCGGAACACUAACACCCGCAUCGAAUUCAUUGCCGAGUGCCGUGGCAAAAAAUGUAUAACGGCCGUGACACUACACGCGGCGGGAUCAAUUUCUGCGGACUUGGUAGCGUUCCCGGAGAGUACUCGGGUAAUUCGCUCGGCGGUCAAUUGACUGCGGCUAGAGGGAACUGCGAAAACUGUAACCUUCGAGUUGAUCUAAUAGCCACGCUAUACUACUCCUUUCGCUUUGUUUUCCUCUCCGCAGCGCGAAAAUACACGGUCCCCCGCUUUGCUUCGAGAUCUGAAUCGCGACGGACGGAAUGGUUCUCGCGCAGGGGAAUAGCAGGUACGGUUCGCGAUUAGGUUCCGCGUGUCCUUGGGAAGCAGGAGAGACUCUCGAGGACACGGAGAGGCCGGGAUCCAGCGGCGAGCAGGGCCCGGCUGCACGCUUUUCCUCUACUGACCCGAAUUGAGUGCUUCCUGUUCACCAGCCGACCGCGUAUUACUCGAUCAUCUAUCGCGUGUAUCACCUAUAUGCCGCGUGACAACCAGAUCUCGCUGUUCUGUGAACUGUCGCGGCCGCGCGCACCUGAUAGGCUGAUGCCACAGGUGGUAAUCGUACCUAAGUACCCAUGGGAGGACGGUUGGUUCGCCGGAGCAAGCGGAGCACUACAAUUUGGUCUAGGAUUACAGAGGUAUGUUGACCUCGCACUGGACCCGUGGUUUACACCCUUCCUUGCGGGGUGUCGAACGAUCUUGGAACUUAUUGGAGGUAACGGAACAAAUGUCGGAGCUACAGCGGCUCACAAAAUUGUUCGUACACCUUUUGAAACGCGAUGACUUUUUUCGAACUGGACUACUCUAUUAGACAAUAACUAAAAUGCUCCUUUUUAUUUUUUAAUUUUGUUAUUACUUGAAAUGACAAAAACAAAACUCUAGGUUUUUAACCUUUUUAUCUGAGCCUAUAACGGAAAGCUACAGGCGUUGAAAGAUUUAAAAAAGACUUCUUACCGUUUCUGGUCGAAUGUGCCAAAAAUCGUGACAGAACUGCGUUUUUUACGAUCUUUAAUUGUUUACAGUUCGUAUCAAGGUCAGGCGAUUUCCAUCAAAUUUUCAGUUAAUUUUAAGUUACCAACUAUAGUUAAUUAUAAGUUACCAAGAUCAAAGAAAAGCAUUUUUCUUCAUUUUCCUUGCAGGCUCAGAUAAAAGUGAUAAAAAAGCGAGAGUUUUGUUUUUGUCAUUCCGAGUAAUAGCAAAAUUUAAAAAGAAGCAUUUUUGUUAUUAUCUAAUAGACCAAUCCGAUUAUCAUCUAAAAGAAAAAUUCACGUGAUAUAGUCCAGAUUGAAAAAAGUUAUUGCGUUUCAAAAGGUGUACGAACAACGUGCAGAUCACUAGAUAGCAGACGAUUAUACGAAUUAUCGAAUAAGGAAUAAUUUGUACGAAGGAAUUUUACAGAUACGAAGAAAAAUUGCCAGGCGAAGUCGGCGUCAACCGAGCAAAGAGAUCUCUAAUCGUCAUAAGUGUUUCCUGGCGGAGACGUCACCGAUAGGAAGCAACGUAGCGAUUUUCCCAGCAUAAAUCUGCGGUCCCAGUGCCGCGGUGCAGAGACAAAAGGUGUUCGAUUACGUCUCUGCUUGCAUAAUGAGCCAGUAUUUGAUCCUCCGAUUGACGUAAUCCAUUCGCCUACCGCGCCGAUAAUCAUCCUCCGUAGGCUCUUUGUCUCGCAUCUCGCAGAAAAUUUUCCGCAGUAUCGAACGUCGCGCUCAGCGGAGAAACUCUCGAAAUCUAUAUAUGGUCGAGUCAUAAAUAACUUCCGAUCCAGCUAGGUAGAAUCUAUUGUUCGUAUCUACUCGCUAUGAGUCUCCGAGACAAACGAGUUCUUGUUUUCGCUAAAUUGAUAAGGAUUCAAAAUAAAUGAAAUAAAAAGAAAUAAACGAUGAAGAAAGAAGAUAAACGUCCGAUAAAAAAACGGAAGCUUUUUAUGACUCUCGACCUAAUAAUUCUCGAAUCAACACAGGCACGCAACAUCCGUAUUAAUCAAACUGUUUGAGCAAUCGUAGGCGAUCGUUCGAACCACUGUCACAACAAACGGAUCACCUAUGUCGGAGGACUUUCACUAAACCUUCGUCGAUGAUCUACGCGCGGCGAUUUAUGAUUUCUGUCGUGGCUGCCAGACAAUAGUCAUUAAUAUCGCGGGGAAUCGCGGGCUUGUAACUGAAGGAGAGACGAAGAGCCCGGAAUCGUUAUCAGCGCGAACGGGAUCAUUGUUAUCGGCGAUUUGGCCGAUCAAUAACGCGGUAUUGCGAGAUAUCGAACGAUCAAGGUACAGAAACAUGAUUAUGGAAGCUAAUCGAACAACCUGAACUCAUCGUCUGGCAUGGUUUUCUUCAAACCCCUUGAUUUAUAGGGUAAGCUAUUGUUUAUUAUUUCUUGGCGAUUAUUCGAUGCUCGAAAAAGCGGUCGAGCUAUCCCGGACUCGCGCGCUGAAAACUUGGUACACCAUCUGCUGAAUAUGGGUUUUACCAGCCCGAUAAGAAACGCUUGAAACUUGGUCUGCCGUGAAAGGAAGCUGGCUGCCUUUUAGCGGUCACGUUCUAUCCGUGACUGUCUUUGAGCCGCGCCGCGACUCCGACCAGCUCGAAGAUCGCCAAAGUGCGAUUCGAAUGGGGUAAUUCGACAAACAUGGAAAAAGUUCGGUGCGGUGAAUAAAAGAUGAGGCAUCCAAUUACAAGGUAUGGUGUGCUUGACUAUUUAACUGGAUGGCUUUUUCAUUAUGAAUGGAUCCCAAGGUGAACAAAAUCGAAGCAAUGCGAAAGGGUUGCGCGUCGAGUUGAAACAACAAUGAGAAUUUUCCCUAUGCCGGUAGCGAAAAGAUCAAAGGAACGCCCAUGGAAGUUCCACAGACCCUGUGGAAUUCGUGGAAGGCGAUUACAUCGAGUGGCGCUAUUACAUAUAACGAGAGAGCGCUCUCUCAUUUAGAAGCAACGAGGAGGCUUUGUUUUUGUCGCGAACCACAGGAUAAGACGAUAAGAUUCAACGACAAUUGCUUAUCGGUGUCGUUUGCUAAUCAUUCUCCGUCCAAAGAUAUCUAUUAUUUAUUGUUGUCAACAAUAACAGGUUGGGUAAGACAGUAUGUGUUUUACUCGCGUGACGAACCCGGUUCUGAGAACGAGAACUAAGUAUCUCUUUUUCGAAAUGCCGAAAGAUUGCAGAUGCUCUUGCGAAGAAAUUGAAAUUUUUCGUGCUAAACGGGCUGCCGCGCUUUUACUUUCGACCGUGGUCCGAGCCAAGCGGCUUUUCGCGAUUAGAAAACAAAUCGGCACACUGGGAUUUCCGACGACCCACGUCCACGAUAUUAUUUUCGGUCAGGCCGCGCGCGCGAUGUUUUAUUCAUAACGCGUACGUGUCAUCCCGUGUGCAACGCGAAUUUUCUAUGUCGUGGAGCUGGAACGCGUGGUUGGAUCGAUAUAGGCACUCUCGGUCAGCAUACGCUUAGAAAAUCUUCGGCCCACGAUUGUCUCUUAGCGUUUCAAUCGCGAAUGCCGCAACGUCAUUGUUCCGCGGUCGAAACAAAGAACGCCUUGCGACGGAGUUCGUUCGAACGUUGAAUGAAAACUCUUCGACAAUGAUUUUUUCUAGAAUCUACGACUACAUGCUUCGAAUGCUCGCUCCUGACCUUCGAAUCGUUUAUUCUUCGCUGUUAACUACGAAUGCUUCCUCGAAGAACAUUCACGAAUUCCGAAUUUUCGCCAAGCUUGUGAUAGGAAGUAUAUUAUCGAAUUGGCCAUUGGACUUGCUGAAGAAUGUUUCAUCUAAACGUCAAGAUCAUUAGCACAAGGACCUUUAAAGACACCAUACCGGACCAGAUGAAAAAUCGUUUAGAAACUAGUUCUUAUCAUAGAACCUUCGAAACCACCUGGCAAAACAAGAUAAACGAUCAUCUAAGGUUAGAAGAGUCCAGGGACUGUCUACUGCUAGCAAAAGCUCUUAAGAACACUUCACGAAACGUGCGUGAUCAUCUUCGAAAACAAGAUAAGCAGUGAUCUAGAAAUUAGAAGCACCUAGCGUGCAAUUCUCCUAAGCUGCUAAAACACUAGCCAGAAGAAGAUGAUCGGGAAUGAUGAUCCAAGAUCCUGCACCGGAACGGAAACGUGAAAAUCUCGAAAUACCUUGUAGAGCAAUGCGUCGCAAGCGAUAUUUCCGUCGAGGAUCUCGUCCAGAUGGUCGAUCCUAAGUAGGCCGAGGGGCCGUUGCUUUCCACGCUUCAUCUUCCGCGUCCUCCAACUUUCCUCUUGCCGGAGACGCAGUCAUCGGGAGCGGAUCACCGCGUGAACUAGCCGACCGCGAAAUUGCCGUCGCCUCUGCGGUGCACAUUAUCACCUGGUAAUAUUUGUUGAUAAGUGCCCGGCCGGCGGCGAACACGCGACGAGACCCCUUCGUGGAAAUCGCUGCGCGCUGCUUAUCAGAUGGCAGUCGCUGACGAGUCGCAACUGCGCGUCUCCGAUCCCAAGAACCUAACCGAUUAUCGCCGAACACCUGUUCGAAGUAAUCUUUGGCUUAGCAUGACGCCUGCUAUGCUUACCACGUGGAAUUUGACUCGAGUCAAGCUCGGUCAGGGUUCAGAAUUUCGGAGCAACAAUUCUACCCUACGAAGACUAAGUCCGCCGUAAUUGACUCCCGCUGAUAACGAAUGAAGAUACACUCUUCCCGACCAGCUCCACCGCACAGUAAACAGAGGCCGAUUCGUCGCGCUUUAUUUAAAUCAAGUUCGCCUUCCUCCCCCGGUUUCGCUGGUAUUCUAUUUUUUCCCGACGCGGAGCGGAGUCAUCGGAAUAAAUGAUCCGCCGUAUCGCGUUUCGAUCCUAUAAAUAUAUGGGAUCCAUGAGCCCCUAAUCGAUAACUACCACCAUCCUCGAAGGAUGAGUUUAUUGGUAACUCGGUCGGGACACUGAGAUCUUCAAGAACCCGAGUAUCACCGUAGAUGCCGCAAACUGUUCCAGAGAAAGUUUCAACGAUUUUUCUGGCCAUGUUGAUGAGCAAUUGAAAAUUCGACGUUGCGGAUAGAGUAUGAUAAUAGAGAUUUGUAUGUACGGGGAGACCAGCUGACGCAGACUGACCGAAUCCUAUGGUACGCGGUGUCGCGAACGGAGACACUGCCGAGAGACCGCACACCGCUGUCACCGGUCCUCCACUGGUUCACUGUUACCACAUCGACUACCUCGGCUAGACUGGAGAUGCCUCGAGCUUGAACUUUCUGGCUCCUUGAACGGAGCGGGAUAAUGGAGCAUUUGAAAGUAAAAGCCAGUAGACCUAUUCUCUUUAUGCGGGCCAACUCUGGAAGCGGCUGGUCUUAUAAUCAGUGGCAUAGUGGAAACAUUGAUGGACGGACGCAUCCUGCAGGAGCUAUCUUAAAAUACUCUGUUACGACUGUUUAUUAUAAUAAAAAGUGUCGCAGACAAAAGUUGUAGUAUCUCAGAUGGUGUUUAAAAUUUAGCAACUAAUUUUAUUGUUUUUGUUAUAUUGCCACUUUAUAGAUGUCGACUCUGAUCUCUAACUAGAAGAUUGAAAGAAUUGUCAAAGUGUUCCAGAUGUUUUUAUACAAAAUGCAAGGUAAAAAAUCUUAAUUAGUACGCCGUGAAGUCCUCUUGAUACUGUACAACUUUUGUGUGAAAUCUUUGAUCGUAUAGUAAACGGUUGACGGGCUAUUUUAAGUACAAGAAUCGCUUACCGCAGAAGUUAUUGUUUCACUAGGUGAGUCACACGUUCCCCACAAAUUGUUGAAACUAAACGGAUCGCAAAGGAUUAACUAUGACAGAGAAUAAACUUAGAAAUGCAUUAUUCCGGUAUGAAUAAUUUAAACAACGCGGUCGGCCAACGUAGCAUGGUGGUGCUUCGGUUCAGCCAAGGUCGCGCAAAUUGGCAUUGAUCUCAUUUGCUUCAUAUUCUAUAAUAAAAUUUUGCAGAUAGCAUUGCAGAAACUAAAUUAUUCGAUUAACUUGACACAAAGUUUUCCAGCCGGGAUCAAGAACUAGCAUCAAAUUGUACCCGGCCUCGCUUGACCGCUAUCGCCGAGAAUCCGGUUCCCAAGCUCAAUUCCACGCUCGCGGAGAGGAAAGGUGUAACUAGUGACGUCAAGCAAUUGUGGAAUUUACAACGGUGUUUAUAAGCGGUGGUGGUUCUCGCCAGGUGAUAGUCAGGCUACGUCAGUGGCACGGCCUAUACAAAAGUCGCACAUUCUGUCUGUUAGAUAAAUUAAACUAAUGAAUUCGGUUCCGGCCUCGCAUUCCCAAUACCAUGAAAUUUCCCGAAACUCUUUGCCAAUCCUCCACGCGGAUCAAAGAGAGAUGAAUUUAUGGGAUCUCGGUGAGCGGCGGACGCGAGAGGCUGCGGGGACGAGGAAGAACAACAUCGGCUGCAGCGUUCAGUGCACGUCACUAUAACCCACGCAAAGAAUGCACAAAGCGAUCGUGCACGUGCGCGACGGGUUUGUAAACACGUUGAUCCAUCCGUAUGGAAAACGAGUAUGCAGAGACAGGGCCAGGUAUGCUACGUACAAAGGACGGGCAUGCAUAACAGAAUUCCGUCGUUCGCUGUAUUGUUGCGGCCUCGUGUUUCAAAAACAGCGACGCGUGUCUUCUUGUACUAUCUGUAUCAUUUUCUAGGAAAUUUUUCAAA